UACGGGGGGGGCAAGCGUUGUUCGGAAUUACUGGGCGUAAAGCGCGUGUAGGCGGCUAUGUAAGUCGGGCGUGAAAUCCCACGGCUCAACCGUGGAAGUGCACUCGAAACUGCAUAGCUAGAGUCCUGGAGAGGAAGGUGGAAUGCUUGGUGUAGAGGUGAAAUUCGUAGAUAUCAAGCGGAACACCGGUGGCGAAGGCGGCCUUCUGGACAGUGACUGACGCUGAGACGCGAAAGCGUGGGGAGCAAACAGG
rnacentral:rRNA from 1 species